ensembl:ncRNA lncRNA:CR45744 long non-coding RNA:CR45744
AUACCACGACGCAUCCGCAUCCCAAUCCGCAUCCUGCUCCCUUAUUUUUCGGAUUUGGAUUUGCCACGGCCUUGCAGUGUCACAAUGGCACGGCUGGCGGCAAGUGCAAGAAUUCCCAGCCCAGAAUCCAGUCCGGCACCGGCUAUAGCCUCGACAUAGCUACGCACUUUGCCGGCUCAACCCCCUGGCUCAUUUGGCAUCCCUUUUCGAGUUCCUGGUGCGUCCUGGUGGUUGCUCGGCAAGUGCAACAUCAUGUCCUCGCAAUCACCAGAGCACUAAGCCAAGCUAAGCGGCCUGUAGCAAGUGUGCGUAUUCCUGUGCCCGAAAAAUACCCCCUCCCACAUCCUCACCCGUCGACGAGUCCUUUCUUUUUUUGGCUUUUGGGCUACGCACAAGGAAAAUGUUUUU